rnacentral:rRNA from 1 species
GAUGAACGCUGGCGGCGUGCCUAAUACAUGCAAGUCGAGCGAACAGACGAGGAGCUUGCUCCUCUGACGUUAGCGGCGGACGGGUGAGUAACACGUGGAUAACCUACCUAUAAGACUGGGAUAACUUCGGGAAACCGGAGCUAAUACCGGAUAAUAUAUUGAACCGCAUGGUUCAAUAGUGAAAGACGGUUUUGCUGUCACUUAUAGAUGGAUCCGCGCCGCAUUAGCUAGUUGGUAAGGUAACGGCUUACCAAGGCGACGAUGCGUAGCCGACCUGAGAGGGUGAUCGGCCACACUGGAACUGAGACACGGUCCAGACUCCUACGGGAGGCAGCAGUAGGGAAUCUUCCGCAAUGGGCGAAAGCCUGAAGGAGCAACGCCGCGUGAGUGAUGAAGGGCUUCGGAUCGUAAAACUCUGUUAUUAGGGAAGAACAAAUGUGUAAGUAACUAUGCACGUCUUGACGGUACCUAAUCAGAAAGCCACGGCUAACUACGUG